UACGAAGGGUGCAAGCGUUAAUCGGAAUUACUGGGCGUAAAGCGUGCGUAGGUGGUCUUUUAAGUCCGUUGUGAAAGCCCUGGGCUCAACCUGGGAAUGGCAGUGGAUACUGGAAGGCUGGAGUACGGUAGAGGAGGGUGGAAUUCCCGGUGUAGCGGUGAAAUGCGUAGAGAUCGGGAAGAACAUCGGUGGCGAAAGCGCUCUACUGGACGGUAUCUGACACUGAGGGACGAAAGCUAGGGGAGCGAAUGGG
rnacentral:rRNA from 1 species